AAUUGCUACUGAGUGUGGAGUGGAUUUUGAUGAGGAUUCUGCUGCUAUGGUUGUAGAUCAUUCUGGAUAUGCAAUCUCCU